rnacentral:tRNA from 1 species
GCGUUAGGUGGGUUUCCCACGGGCCUUCCAAGCCCGGGGUGGGGGUUCGAGCCCCUCCUGCCGCGCCA